rnacentral:rRNA from 1 species
GAUGAACGCUAGCUACAGGCUUAACACAUGCAAGUCGAGGGACCGGCGCACGGGUGAGUAACACGUAUCCAACCUGCCCUUUACUCGGGGAUAGCCUUUCGCAAGAAAGAUUAAUACCCGAUAUAAAGGAUGGGGAUGCGUUCCAUUAGGUUGUGGGGUAGGGAACGGCUAACCAAGCCUUCGAUGGAUAGGGGUUCUGAGAGGAAGGCACACCGCAUCGGAAAUGAGACACGGUCCAAAAGCCUACGGGAGGUAGGAGUGAGGAAUAUUGGGCAAUGGGCGCUAGCCUGAACCAGCCAAGUAGAGGGAAGGAGGAAGGCGUAGGGGUCGUAAAUUUCUUGUAUAUAAGAAGAUGUAUUAUAUGAAUAAGGAUCGGCUAACUCCGUGCCAGCAGCCGCGGUAAUUC